rnacentral:rRNA from 1 species
AUGAACGCUAGCUACAGGCUUAACACAUGCAAGUCGAGGGGCAGCAUGGUCUUAGCUUGCUAAGGCCGAUGGCGACCGGCGCACGGGUGAGUAACACGUAUCCAACCUGCCGUCUACUCUUGGACAGCCUUCUGAAAGGAAGAUUAAUACAAGAUGGCAUCAUGAGUUCACAUGUUCACAUGAUUAAAGGUAUUCCGGUAGACGAUGGGGAUGCGUUCCAUUAGAUAGUAGGCGGGGUAACGGCCCACCUAGUCUUCGAUGGAUAGGGGUUCUGAGAGGAAGGUCCCCCACAUUGGAACUGAGACACGGUCCAAACUCCUACGGGAGGCAGCAGUGAGGAAUAUUGGUCAAUGGGCGCAGGCCUGAACCAGCCAAGUAGCGUGAAGGAUGACUGCCCUAUGGGUUGUAAACUUCUUUUAUAAAGGAAUAAAGUCGGGUAUGUAUACCCGUUUGCAUGUACUUUAUGAAUAAGGAUCGGCUAACUCCGUGCCAGCAGCCGCGGUAAUACGGAGGAUCCGAGCGUUAUCCGGAUUUAUUGGGUUUAAAGGGAGCGUAGAUGGAUGUUUAAGUCAGUUGUGAAAGUUUGCGGCUCAACCGUAAAAUUGCAGUUGAUACUGGAUAUCUUGAGUGCAGUUGAGGCAGGCGGAAUUCGUGGUGUAGCGGUGAAAUGCUUAGAUAUCACGAAGAACUCCGAUUGCGAAGGCAGCCUGCUAAGCUGCAACUGACAUUGAGGCUCGAAAGUGUGGGUAUCAAACAGGAUUAGAUACCCUGGUAGUCCACACCGUAAACGAUGGAUACUAGGUGUAGGGUGUGAUAAACAUUCUGUGCCGUCGCAAACGCAGUAAGUAUCCCACCUGGGGAGUACGGCCGCAAGGUUGAAACUCAAAGGAAUUGACGGGGGCCCGCACAAGCAGUGGAGUAUGUGGUUUAAUUCGAAGCAACGCGAAGAACCUUACCAGGUCUUGACAUCGAGUGACGUAUCCAGAGAUGGAUAUUUCCUUCGGGACACAAAGACAGGUGGUGCAUGGUUGUCGUCAGCUCGUGUCGUGAGAUGUUGGGUUAAGUCCCGCAACGAGCGCAACCCCUAUUGUUAGUUGCCAUCAUUAAGUUGGGCACUCUAGCGAGACUGCCGGUAAUAAACCGGAGGAAGGUGGGGAUGACGUCAAAUCAGCACGGCCCUUACGUCCGGGGCUACACACGUGUUACAAUGGGGGGUACAGAGGGCCGCUACCACGCGAGUGGAUGCCAAUCCCAAAAACCUCUCUCAGUUCGGACUGGAGUCUGCAACCCGACUCCACGAAGCUGGAUUCGCUAGUAAUCGCGCAUCAGCCACGGCGCGGUGAAUACGUUCCCGGGCCUUGUACACACCGCCCGUCAAGCCAUGGGAGCCGGGGGUACCUGAAGUGCGUAACCGCGAGGAGCGCCCUAGGGUAAAACUGGUGACUGGGGCU